CAUGCAAAACAAAAAUAAUUUAUUCUCUCAAUGCCAUGGAACGUAGAUGUUUGACCAAUCUACAUAGAAAAAGAAUAGAAUGAUUGUACAGUUUUGUUUUUGGUGGUUUUAAUAUUUUUAUUUAAUUUAUUUGUGUCCAUUAUCUCAGUCCAAAUUACGUUGAUCUGAAAAGAGAGAGAGAGAGAGGAAGAGGAAGAGAGACAGAAAGAGAGAGAGAUGUAUAUUGUUAUUAUUUUUACUGCACCAGAUCAGAAAUUGUCAAGCUACCAGAAGAAUGUGACAAAGGUCUGUUGUGUAUCAAUCACCACAGUGGCUACUGUCUUGAAGUAACUGGAUUUUAAAGACAUCAGUUAUGAACACUUGAAAAGAUCUCUGGAAUUCCAGUCAGAGAUCUUUCGCAAUAUAAACUAAAAUACAGCAAGGAGCUUUAGGAGAGCAGAUGGAGAAUAUUUUCCUUGAAUUAUAAUUUCAAGUUGUAAAUUAAAGCUGUCGACAUUACUCAUCACCAGUCCUUCCAUAUGUACUCCGUUCUCUCAGAUUAAAACAAACUAUGGUUCUGUGACAUUCUGCACAGAUAUCCAGUACUAACAUGAACGAAAUAUGAUCUUGGGAUCCCAUGGAUUGAUGCUUUAUUUAUGAGGUCGUUGCUACACAGUUUAGUUAUAUAGCAGAUGUUAAAUACAAUGUGACUGAUGUUGUAUGUGAGAGAGUAAGCAUACAUGGUCAAAAUAGGUAACCAAUGGUUUUUGAUAGUGUGUAUGAAGAGAACAAAAAUCCUGACUAGAUUCAUUACUCUAACCAAUUUAGGAGUAAUAAAACUCAUCAAUAAAUAAAACUGUGUCAUAUCAUUAAUAUCUGAUGAAAAGGGCAGCAAGCUGGCAGAAUUGUUAGCACACAAGGCAAAGUGCUUAGUGGUAUUUCAUCUGCCAUUAUGUUCUGAGUUCAAAUUCCACCAAGGUCGACUUUACCUUUCAUCCUUUCAGGGUCAAUUAAAUAAGUACCAGUUAUGCACUGGAGUCGAUAUCAUCGACUUAAUCCCUUUGCCUGUCCUUGUUUGUCCCCUCUAUGUUUAGCCCCCUGUGGGCAAUAAAGAAAUAAAUUAAUAUCUGAUGAAAGAACAGAACUGCAGCAAUAAAAUACAUAUUAGCAAUUAAAAUAUUUUUUAAAAACCUAUAUAUAAAAACAAAGCAUAAAGUAAAAACCACUAAGAUAGACAAAACUCUAAAAACUGAUUUCUAAUAUAGAAACAAUCUUAUGGGAUUUGAACAUGGAAUAUAAUGGGAUGUGCCACUGAUUUUGGCAUUUCAACUGAUUAAAUAAUUAUAUUUAAGAGGAAAGUAGAAUCUGCUAAAUCAUGCCAAGUACUUUACAGGGACGUAAACACACCACCAUUGGUUGUCAAGUGAUGUUGGGGGGGGGGGGGGCAAACACAGACACAAACAUAUAUAUAUAUAUAUAUAUAUACGACGGGCUUCUUUCAGUUUCCGUCUACCAAAUCUACUCACAAGGCUUUGGUCAGCCCGAGGCUAUAGUGGAAGACACUUACCCAAAGUGCCAUGCAGUGGGAAUGAACCCAGAACCAUGUGGUUGGUAAGCAAGCUACUGCACCUACUUAUUAAAUUGACCCCAGAAGGAUAAAAAGCAAAGCUGACCACAAUCAUAUUAGAAACUCUGUUGUUUUUAUUUGUUACUCGUCAAAUAAUUGAUAAGAAUUUAUAAUAUAGGCACAUGAUCAGAAAUUCAAGAGUGGUGGGGUAGUUGAUUAAACCGAGGGCAAUUUUUGACUGGUGCUUUAUUUUAGUAACCCCAGUGGGAUGAAAGGUUAAGCUGAAUUAGGCAGGAUUUGAACCCAGAACAUAAAGGGCUGGAACAAAUAGUGCAAGCACUUUGUCCCAUGUCAAUCUAUGGUAUUUUCAAAGACUGAAAACGUGUGUCUAUGUGUCUGUUAUUCAUCAGUUACAAGAUUCAGAAUUGAAGAUAGUUAAACAGGGAAAAAGAACAAGGGACAAAUGUAUCUUUAACAUAAACCCACACAUAUUAAAUAUUUCUAACCUGUUAUUUACAAACUAUUAUUAAAAACUUUAUCUACUUUUAAGUUCCUCCGUCAAAAACCAAUAUAUAUAACUUAAAUGAUGCAAAGUAUUAACCUGGGACAACAUUAUCUCAUGUGUGUGUGUUUUCCUUUUUCUAAAAUGAUAGCGUACCAUUAGUGGAAAAUUUGGCUGGAUGAACAACUGCAUAAGAGGUUCUUGUGUUCAUGGAAGCAUGGAAGUGAUUGUAUAAACACAAAAUGGUCUAAAAUGGGAAAGCUAGCUCAUUAAGUCCUUUGAAGAUAUAUUUCUGACAGAAAUAUUUUCUAAUUAAAAAAAGAAAAGAAAAGAAAACAAACAAUACACAUAACUAUGUGAAUUGUCUCAAAAUAAUUUUCUGCUUAAAAAACCCCAGAUUUUAAGAAUUACUGAAAUACAAUACACAACCCUUUGUUAAAAACUAGAAAUAAAUAUGAUGGGGAUGGGAAAGAAAAGAGAAAGGCUUUUAGGUUUGAUGUUGUGAAAUUGAUGGAGUGAUUCAUGGAAUUUAUAUGAUUAAGGUAAACAAAAUUAUGAGACCCAAUACAUACUUUCAGCCUGACUGGGAUAAUCUACUGAACUGAUUGAUUUACAAUAAGGAAUAGUGUAACACUUCAAAUGAGCAUCUCUGUCAUACAGACAAUGUUUUCUGUUUCCAAUCUUCCAUGAAAGCAUAUCUGGCCAUGGAGAGAUAUUACCUUACUUGGAAACAGGUGAUGGUUGGCAACAGGAAGGGCUUCCAGACACAGAAAACCUGCUUCAAUGAAUUCUGUCUGACCCAUGCAAACAUGGAAAAGUAAACAUUAAAAUGAUGAUGAUGAUAACAGAAUAAUAUUGUUGUGUAGCCCCAAGUUAACCCUGAAUGAACAGACCCACAAUCAAAGGUGUUCCAGCUAUGACCAUCCCCUCUUAUUCUAUACCAGGGACCACAUUGUCCAAUAUGUCAUUUAAAAUGGGUAGAGUGUAGUUUGAGGGAGAUCUGGCUGUACUAUUUCAAAUCAGUCUGACAAUCGCAAAAAGAACAUCAUCUUUGGCUUCUAGUAGAGUACUAUGUUUCAGAUGUCUCUUUGACAAUGUGAAAUUCAGCAUUAUGCAAUAUUCAAUAUCUAAAUGAUCUGAGAGGAAUGACACAAAUCAUAACAAAUCCUCAGACUGCUGCUGCAUGGUGCCUUGUGUUUCGCCUAAUCCUUCAUGAAAGAGGACCAUGUAGUGAAAUAGUUUUAGUUUCAAAGUACCACAACUUUUUGGUAUUGACCCCUCAAAACUAAAGUGAUAUGCAUGGCAUGGAUGUCAACACUUUCCAAAUCAUAGUGAAGUCAUGUUGGGACCAGCCAGACAACUGUUCCCUUCUCAGUCAAUCGUCUUAAAAGGAAAACAAAUGGAUAGAUAACACAACACACACACACUUUCAUACUCAUCUAGCGACAACUACAAAUCAUUAAAAAGUUAAUUUUAUUUUUGGAAUGUUCCAGUCUCAUGAUGAUGAGUAAAAUGGAAUGAGAAAUAGGUGAAGAUGAAUAAAUAAAUAAAAACUUACUAGUAAACCUCAAAAAAAAAAAAAAAAAAGGAAAAACUGUGAGUCAUUAGGUUGCAUACAGAAUCUAUUUUAACCAAUAUCUUAAAGAUUUCAAAUGUCAAGAACAAAAUGGUGAGGAAUUUCUUUUAAUUUUGUCAGGGCAUAAUCAGAGGUGGCAAGGGACUAAGCCCAUCAUUUAUUUGGUUGGGCUGCCAAAUCUAGAAGAAAUCAAAACAACUCAUGGGUUAUUCUUAGACUGGAGACCUGAUCCAAAUGUUUGCUACAAGCUGGAUUCCACAAAAGACACCAAUGGGUGGAGUACUAGCAUUUAACCCUUUCUUUACCAACCCGGCUGAAACCGGCCCUAGCUCUGAGUACAAAUGUCUUGUUUUCAUAAGUUUUUAAUUAAAAUCUUCCACCAAACCCAAGUCAUAAUUUAUGUUCCUGACACUAGCUGAAUGAUAACUAAGUUAUUUUUACUAAAUUCUUUGUUAUAUUCAAAGUAAUUUAAAGAAACACAGAGCAUCUCAACAGAAAUAUGGUAACAAAAAGGUUAAGCUGGCCAUAUCCAGUCAAAAUAUUCGA
rnacentral:lncRNA from 1 species